UUGGAGGGCAAGUCUGGUGCCAGCAGCCGCGGUAAUCCCAGCUCCAAUAGCGUAUAUUAAAGUUGUUGAGGUUAAAAAGCUCGUAGUUGAACCUUGGGCCUAGCCGGCCGGUCCGCCUCACCGCGUGCACUGGCUCGGCUGGGUCUUUCCUUCUGGAGAACCGCAUGCCCUUCACUGGGUGUGCCGGGGAACCAGGACUUUUACUCUGAACAAAUUAGAUCGCUUAAAGAAGGCCUAUGCUCGAAUACAUUAGCAUGGAAUAAUAGAAUAGG
rnacentral:rRNA from 1 species